CAUGGCUCUGCUCUCAGUGGAUUUAUUUUCCCCUGUGAUGAUCUCUUUUGAAACGCUUCCUCAUUUCUUAGCAAAACAAUGUAAAGUUUCUGCAGGGUAUAAAGAGAUGUGAGAUUAUGAAAUCAAAUGAGCCCAUGCUGUCUCAGUGGAUUUGACUGUUAUUAACUGCCCAAGAGAUUCAAAUCCAGGUUCUAAGUUAAUCCCGUUGCUGAUACAGGCAUAUCUUUCUAGAGCUCUCGGAAGGCAGUUUGCAGAAGCUGUCUUCUCUACAAGUUAAAAGCUAACCACUCAGAAGGGUCACUUCUUGUGGGAUGAAACUGGGUCAUCAGUUAUCCCCCACUCCAACAGGGAAGGAAAUAAUAACCCCCCUCAAGAUACUUUUCAUAAGACAUCCCGCAACAGUAAGUAAAACACAAGGUGUACUAAAAUUAGGAAGGAGCUGGAUCGUGAUGUCGUAAAAGGAGUUCAUGCAGUAGGGUUCGAAAAUCCGAGGCUCCUUGAAAGCGUAUCAGAGGCUAAUGAUACACUGGGUGAGGGAUUUGGGGCAUAACAUUCAACUUUUAGAUUGGGAAAGGUUAUGGAAAACAGAUUUGAAAUUCUCGGCAUGUUGUACGCUGAAAGAAAACUAUAUGAAAAUUAUGUACAGGUGGUAAUUGACUCCUAGUAAGUUAGCAAAGGGACGCGGGUGGCACUGUGGGUUAAACCACAGAGCCUAGGACUUGCCAAUCAGAAGGUCGGCAGUUCAAAUCCCUGUGACAGGGUGAGCUCCCGUUGCUUGGUCCCUGCUCCUGCCAACCUAGCAGUUCGAAAGCACGUCAAAGAUCAAGUAGAUAAAUAGGUACCGCUCCGGCAGGAAGGUAAACGGUGUUUCCGUGCGCUGCUCUGGUUUGCCAGAAGUGGCUUAGUCAUGCUGGCCACAUGACCCGGAAGCUGUACGCCAGCACCCUCGGCCAAUAAAGCGAGAUGAGCGCCACAACCCCCGAGUCGGCCACGACUGGACCUAAUGAUCAAGGGUCCCUUUACCUUUACUUUAAGUUAGCAAAAAAUGUAUAAGACAAGUACAAAUACCUGCUGGAAAUGUAGAGAAAAAGAAGGUACCUUUUAUUAUAUGUGGUGGUCGUCUAAGGUAAUGAAAGCGUUCUGGGAAAUGAUAUAUAAUGAAUUGAAAAAAAUAUUUAAAAUAACUUUUAUUAAAAACAAACAAACCAGAAGCUUUCUUAUUAGGAAUUGUAGGUACUGCCACCCCAAAAGGAGAUGACUUUUUAUGUAUACAACAGCAGCCACAUGGAUGCCACUAGCCUGGAGAUGGAAAGAAGACAAAGUCCCUACCAGAGAAGAAUGGCAAAUUAAACUGUUGGACUAUGUGGAAUUGGAAAACUGACUGGAAAGCUCAGGAACCAAGAAGACAAAAACUUCAAGAAAGAAUGGGGGGUGGGAAUUAUAAUUUAUUUAGGAGACCACUGCAAGCAGAUGAAAACAUUGGCAGGAUUUUAACAACACUUGUAAUGUAACAAUUACUAUGGACAAUAUGGAGAGAUACAAAAUAUGAAUAAUGAAAUAAUAUGCAGCUGAAAAUGUUGACAAUAAGGACCAUGGAGAGGGUGGUGGGAAGUCUGGAGAUUCAGAGAAAUCUCUAAAGGUGGAUAUGCAUUGUUAUAACUUUACGCUUGCAAAAUCAAAUAAAAACUAUUUUCAAAUGAAGAAAAGGAAGCUUAUCGGAGGCUUUUCACUUUCCCAGCAUGCUGUUGUGUUUGGUCCGAUUCUCUCAGACAGCACCUGAAGUGAUAAGCUUGUUUCUAGAUUGUACCAUUUUAUGCCGCAAGAGUGGAGAGGGCAUUUUCUGAGGCAGCCCGUAAGUUGUGGAACUACUUUCUCACAGAGAUGUGUGCUUCAUUAUACAGCUUUGGGCAUUGCUGAAGACGCAUCUCUUUAACUUGGCUUUUGACACUAGAGAUGAAUAUUGUUAGGACCCACUUUGUUUUUGAAAUUAAACUGUUUGAUAUUAAAACACAAUAUGAGGCAAUAUUAAUGUUGUGUUUUAAUUGCUGAAACCUUCCCUGGGACUUUAGGGUGAAGGGCAGGCAAUAAAUUAUUGCAAUAACAAUGGUUAUUAUUAUUAAUCCUUGUGCAUUGAAAAUUGCAAGGUUAGAAGCCUCCUUAACAAUGUGAUUUUUUUCCCCUUUAGUCUCAGUAGAGAUUUUUUUUUUUUUUUGCUUGUUUAUGGCACAGGGGAGCAUUCAGUCAUGUGAACCCCCACCUGAAGUAUAAAAGGUACAGGUGUACCAUUUUCUUUGUAGCAAACCAACCCUAAAGAAGAAAUAAUAAUAAUAAUAAUAAUUUUUAUUUAUACCCUACCCUUCCUGGUGUAAAAACUGGGCUCAGGACUGCUAACAGCAAAUAUAAAACAUUGAUUAAAAUGUGACUUAAAAACAGCAUAAAAACAGCAUAAAAUACAACAUAAAUGCAGCAUCAAUGUCAAUAAAAUUCAAAAAUUAAGGGAUCAUUUUGGGGAAACCCCAGACAGUAAACAUCAAAUGAUCACCAAGGCUAACUGGCCAAGUUGGUCCUACUAGGGCCAGCAAGGAGACCAGGGAAGAGUUUAAAUAUGGGGUCCCAGAAGGGUUUCUUCAUAGAAAAGGAAAGGGAAAAGGGAGUAGAGAAUCAGGCUAAUUCAAAUUGAAGGCCAGGUGGAAAAGCUCUGUCUUACAGGCCCUGCGGAAGGAGAUCAAGUCUGGCUUCUUUAGGGCCCGGGACCUUUAAGCUAUUAUUAUUCAUGGACCUUGGGGUCCUCUGCGGGACAUACCAGGAGAGGCGGUCCUGUAAGUACGAUAGGACUCAAGAUGGGGCUGUGCAGCUGAAGAAGUGAUGUUCUGUAGAGAGGAGUUGCUCUGAUCACAGCCACUGUCAAUGAGUUUUAUGGGAUUCAGGAAAGUAUCUGGGGCAUUGCUUAAAGGGGUCUCAAGUCAAAGCGAAGAAUUAAGGGGUGGAUUGGAUAAGGGUCUUGGAUUCUGUCUCUCCUCCCUCUCAUCAAACCCAAAAGGCCUUCAACUAGGACACCUGUUUUCCACUUGCCCCCAAGGUUCUGCCAUCUCUCCUGGGGUAGGGGGUGUUAAGCUAAUAUUCCACUGAAGAUAAAAAGAACUGUUUUAUUUCCUGCUUCAUUUUGGAUAUUACAGAGUUGUGCAAAGCACCUCAGCUCCAUCUUCCACCCAUUGUCAGCAAAGGAGGAUGGAUUUUGGUCCUUCAUCAUCAGGCAUGAACUAAAUCCUCUUGCUCCCUUAUAGUUGCUAGCUGCAACAGCUGCAAGAGGGAAAAUCCUGCUUCGUAGUUUUCAAAACACCAACCUGUCUUAGUGCCGAAAAGACUAUUAGUACUAUGGAGACUUAACCUUCAUUGGCAGAGGAGUUGUCUUUCAUUCAACAGCCCUCCUCUAUUCAUUUUGAUUUCUGCCAAUCACUUUGUGCCAGACGAAGAAGGAUAUGUAUUGACGGUUCAGUCUCCAAAUCCUGCACUUAACAUGACAUAGUAAAUGCUAGUUAGAAUCCAUUGUUGUACAUUACAAUACUAGCAAAAUGCCUAUCAUAAUGAUGAACGGGAUGUGUGUGUGGAGAAUGGGGGUUUGUCUAUCGAAAGGACUGCUGGAGACGGGUGCAAGCAACCCCAGGGACAUUGCUAGUAAGGCCCAUUCUGCUAGAAUGGGACACAAAAGAGGAGGAGGUCAAAUCGGUCAUAAUCAAAUGGGCACAGUAUAUAGGACAUAAUAUACAAUUUGAGGACUGGGAAAAAUUGUGGAAAAGAAAUUUGAAAUUGACAGGUUGUUCUCUUUUGAAAGAAAAUUAUAUGAAAAUGAUGUAUAGAUGGUAUAUUACACCAGUACAGAUAGCAAAAAUGUACAAAACUGGGUCAAACACAUGUUGGAAAUGUAAAGAAAAAGAAGGGACUUUUUAUCAGAUGUGGUGGGAAUGUAGAGAAGUUUAAAAAAAAAGGGAAAUGAUAUAUAAUGAAUUGAAAAAAAUGUUUAAAAUGACAUUUGUAAAAAAAACCAGAAGCAUUUCUGUUAGGGAUUGUAGGACAAGACCUGCCAAGAAAAACAAAGAACUUAUUUAUGUAUGCUACAACAGUGGCAAGAGUCUUGAUAGCACAAGGAUGGAAGAAUGAGGAAACCCCAACGAAAGAACAGUGGCAAGAAAAAUUGAUGAGCUACGCAGAGCUGGCUAAAUUGGCAUACCAAUUGUGGGAUAAGGACAACUGUGACUUUAAGGAAGAAUGGGAGCUUUUUACAACUUAUCUAAAAGACAACAGGUUUUGAAUAAACAUACACAAAUUUACUAGUUGAUAACAUGGUAGAUAGGGACGCGGGUGGCGCUGUGGGUAAAACCUCAGCGCCUAGGACUUGCCGAUCGUAUGGUCGGCGGUUCGAAUCCCUGCGGCGGGGUGAGCUCCCAUCUUUUGGUCCCAGCUCCUGCCCACCUAGCAGUUCGAAAGCACGUCAAAGUGCAAGUAGAUAAAUAGGUACCGCCCCGGUGGGAAAGUAAACGGCGUUUCCGUGCGCUGCUCUGGUGCUGGCUCGCCAGAGCAGCUUCGUCACGCUGGCCACGUGACCCGGAAAUGUCUCCGGACAGCGCUGGCCCCCGGCCUCUUAAGUGAGAUGGGCGCACAACCCUAGAGUCGGACCCGACUGGCCCGUACGGGCAGGGGUACCUUUACCUAACAUGGUAGAUAGAUACUGUAAGGAUAUGUAUAAUUUUACAACAUGCAGAGAAUAAUAUGUUCUGAGAAAAUCAGAGAGAGGAGCUGAGGGAAGUCUCGGGGGGGGGGGAGGGAAGGUUUGAAGGGGGGAAAGGGGGAGAAUAAUGAAUAUUAUAUGUUUUGAUAAUCUCUUAUGCUGAAAUUGUUAAUAAAAACAUAUUUUUUUUUUAAAAAAAGACAUUGCCAGUAAGGCCCAACCACACACUGUUGGCAUGGAGGGCACAUUUUGCUUCUACUUUAUUCUCAAGUGCAACACAUAAGUUCUCCGAGCAGAGUGAAGGACAUGAUUAUAUAGCAGAAAAUAAAGGGAGCCACAUAUGUAGAAUAGAAAGUAAAGAGGCACACUCUGACAUCAGUGUGGUGGUGGUUAAACAUAUUCUCUGCUCCCUAGUAACCCUGCCCCCUUGGAAUCCUGACCAUUGAGUAUACCCUGUAAUUCUAGUCUGAAGCUAUUUGCAGAGCACUUAUUGGCUUCAGUUUCUUAAUCACACUUGAGCUCUUUUCAGGCAUUCAUCUCUCAUGCUCUUAGACUCAUGUGAGAGGAAACACAGGGCCACAAUCUCUGGCCUAGCCCCCUCCAACCAUGCCCCUGUUUCUCCAUUUGAGGAUGCAGUCAAAAGUGGGGAGCCUGCUGUAUAUGUGUAAACCCCCCCGCCGCCGCCCAAUUUAGGGAUUGGCCCAGGUGCAUAUGGGCAAAAUGGAGGAAGAAAAGUCAGAGACUAUUAUCUGAAGAUAUGUAAGCCUUCAGACAUUAUAGAAAACCAAGAGAAAACGAUGAAUGGCUUGGAUUUCCUCUUCCUACCUUGAUGCUCUAAUAUCAGUAAAGAAGUCAUAAAUCUCCUAACCCUCUGGUGAGAAAUAUGAGCUGUUUCAGUUUCUCAGGUUUUCUGUUGAAUGAAGUACAAACAUUUCUCUUUGGAAAUGUUUGGAAGUGCAAAACAGGAAGUGGAAUCCCUCCCACUUCCUGCCUCACCCUCCUUUUUCUUUUUUUUAACAUUCAAAGCUGCUUUGAGGUUGGAAGCACACAAGAAAGUCCCUCACAUAAAAUUAUUGUAAAGCAGAAAAUGUCUGAAAAUGCCACUGGGAAAACUGAAUUUUCAAGAAACCAAACCAAAAGGACAAUAAAACCCAACCUCCACAACAAUAAAAGGCAAUAUAAUAGAAUGUUAAAGCCUAUUAAAACAAACCAUAAUUUAGGAAACGUAACCUAUAAAUAUUUUAAAAUAACUAUGUACUGAAACCCAGUACAGCCAUCCACACUGGGGGAGGGGGGGAUGGUUAAAAAUGAUAUGCCAAUACUCAUAUUUUGAUAGAAGUGCUAUGGGUGCCAGCACAAAAUGUAUUCCAUGGGUAGCAGAAAAAAGAGAGAGGUGAUGGUACUCCGUAUCGGUGAAUAGUUACACAAAAAACACUGUAGCCAAGCAAAAUCACCAAUAAUUCCUAUUAACUACUGGAGACUCUGGUGCAAAUCUGGUUCAAGAGCACAGAAACAUCAGACAUUGUCUUGGAAACUCUUCUUUACUGCCAUUACUACAAAUGCACAGAACAAUUUUCGUAUCCCUCCACAUUUCCAUUGAUUACACCACAUUGAAACAGUGGGCCUCACUCUCACGACAUUUUCUGUAUUUUCCCUUCCACUUUUACCUCAAAUCUUUUCUCCUGUUUAGAUCCUUUACUAGUUGUCCACUUCUCUGUUACCUCCCAUUGUCACUGUCAAAGGCCAAAGCUGGUAACCUUAUCCUCUGUCUCUCGGGAUGUGGGGUGACUUCACUAUUUGUGUCAUAACUGCUGAGAUGGAUGACAUCAUAGUGCACAGUGACAACAACUGACAUGCAUUAGCACAUUAAGUGUUGUAACCAAAGGGCACUGCUGCUAGGUUAUCACUGCCCAGACUGCUCCUUCUGAGAAACUUACCCCUUCUUGCUCGCUGCUGCUGGUGGCGGUGGUUACAUGAUGUCUCCAACUUCCUUCAAAUCCCACAACAUUGUGCUGUACAGUGGUGCCUCGCAAGACGAAAUUAAUCCGUUCCGCGAGUCUCUUCGUCUUGCGGUUUUUUCGUCUUGUGAAGCACGGCUAUUAGCAGCUUAGCGGCUUAGCGGCUUAGCGGCUAUUAGCGGCUUAGCGGCUAUUAACGGCUUAGCAGCUUAGUGGCUUUAAGAAAAAGGAAACAAACUCGCAAGAACUUGCAAGACAUUUCGUCUUGCGAAGCAAGCCCAUAGGGAAAUUCGUCUUGCGGAACGAAUCAAAAAACGGAAAACUUUCGUCUAGCGAGUUUUUCGUCUUGCGAGGCAUUCGUCUUGCGGGGCACCACUGUAGAUGAAUGCGCUUUUCUGUCUUAGGCUUGCAGGCAAAGAGCCAGUCAGAAGCUGCAACAAUGCUACUCUCCUUGGCUUACUAACUGGCUUUUUAUUCAGUGUUUUGAAAACAUGUUUACUUUUUCAAUACCAGAAAAGAAACAUCGUAUAAUUAAAUGUCAUUUUCGUUACUGACAAUUUCUGGCAUGUUUGUCCCUGUUCAAGUUACACCCAGUGCAGGUGCCCUAAUCUAAACAGAGAUGUGAUUACAAGUUUACAUUGGCAUGCCAAACACUUGUAUUGUACUGGCUGGUGCAUCACUUGCAGAGCACUAAGUAAGUUUUAAGCUAGCUCGGCUGAAGCUGGAGUCAUCUGACAAAUUUCAGAAGGAACUGGGAAACAGUGGGUUCCAGGGAGCUGGGUCUAGACAGCAAGCUUUUGCAGGAAGAGAUCCAAGCAGGGCAGGAGCUACUUUGACAGUGUUCGGAGGUGAGCCCUUAAAUAGCAAACCAGGCCCCAGUCUUACCCCAUACCCAAGAACCGGCAGGAAUUAAAAGGGAUGGUGUCUGGAAUCAGCGCCUUGGAAAAGAGCAUUAUUUGGUGCUGACAAAGUUUCCUCAGGGUCUGAAUCUUGAUUCAGAAUAAAUUAGGCUUCAUGCCUGCUAAAUUGCAGAAAUAUAGGUCUGGGGGUUUUGCACUAAUAAUUUAUUUGCAGGAUUGCAUGAAAUUUGCAGACAUGUCAGCUCCUUUUAAAGGGAUGGAUCCUGGCAGAUUUCAGAAGGACAGAUACAGUGUAUUUCCUAAACAAAAAUCACCCACAAACUUUUACAACUUUGGCUCAUUUAUAUAUUCAUAAAAUUUAUAAACCAUCCUUCAUCCGUAGAUCUCAGGGUGGAUCACAAACAAACCCUAGAUAAAAACACAAAAAGAUUCACUUAUUCUUACCUCUUGUUUUGUGGGCAAUUUGUAUGAAAACAGCAAACAAGAGAGAGGUAUCCCUAGGUGAGAAACCUGCUAAACUGAGGACAAAUAUGUGCACAGGUCUUCUGUGGCAGGCCUCCUUUAAAGUUAAUUUUGUAGUGGGGGAUUAAAAGGGAUUUCCUUUCCUCCCAACGAUUUUGUGGUCCAUAACUUUAUUACCAAAAUGACGCCUAUCAUUAAGAUGUCCAACAGGAAAAUAAGCUGCAAAAAUUAAGAAGAAUGGGUGGGUGGCUAUUAGGUAAUGAUGAAUGCUUUAAAAACAAACAAACAAACAAACAAACAAACAAACAAACAAACAAACUAGUUUUAGGCUUGUAUUCUGCUCAACUGCCACCCAAAGUCACAGAAACUUAAAUGCACAGCUGAUUUGACAGGGAGUGGGUGUGUGGGCAUGUGACAGAGACAGAAGAACUUGAGCUAUUGCGUUUUCCAAACCAAUCUCCACUAGCAGAAACAGCAAAGAACCAAGAACAGGCUAGGAGGAGGUGAUGCAUCACUUCAACAUCACUUCCCUAAAGCACUGUGAUUGGAGAUCCCUUGUAAUAAGCAUCCCCUCUGAUUAAAAGUCAGACCUGUCAAUCGCAGGAGAGCUCUCCCUCCUUGAUCUCCCCACGCUGGCAGUUACCUGAUACUGGGAUAAGUGUUUUAGUUAUUUUCAGACACAAUGCCUGCAUCUUUUUACCAUCCGAAUCUGCCCUGAAUCUGCUCUGAAGCAGAUCCAAAGUGCCCUGAAAAUGCAGCAAAGGUCCAUGCUUCAACCCUGAAUUUAUUCAUGGUAGCUUUAGGAUUUGUGAUAUGUCCAAAUCUGAUGCACACGUGUGUGUGUGUGUGUGUUUUGUUUUGGAGCAGUGGAAUGUGUUGCAACAUUUAGAGAAGUGGGAGAUCCAAUGUAUUACUGCGUUCCAAUCCACACAUCUGUAUGUGAGGAUUGCAGAUCAGGUCAGCUGGGCAUUCCGUACUACUGAGCCUUCUUUGUAGAACACACCUCUGCCUCGGAUUCCAUGCAACUGUGAGAUGACACUGUUUGAAGGGAAAUUAUUUUUCCUAUCUCUUUAAUUUUCACUUGAGGCCCACCCGAGAGACUGUGCAGGGAGCGGAUUACAGUUUCAGUGACUUGCUUUGUAAAUUUAAUUCCUUAUUCCUCGGUUCAGUAUCCCUUCUGAAAUGUGAUGUCAUUGCCCUUUGUGUCAGGGAGGUUAAUUUCAGAUACACCGCACAUCCCCAAAGUGCCGCAUGAAACAAAAAAACAGAAACAUUUGCUUAGCUGUGUUAAAUGUCCUCAUUAUACAGAGGCAUGGAAACAGGCCAUCAGCCCUGUUCCAAUUACCAGCCAACCAUUCCAUCCAUCUGCAGAAAGGUAGAUAUUAUAACACUUGAAAAGGUGCAGAGAAAAGUGACUCGUAAGUUGAUCCCAGGAGCAAAAGACAUGAUGGUAAAGACAGCCUACAUUUGUUAAUCUGUAUAAUCUGAAGAAAAAGAAGGGAUUAGGAGGAGCAUUAAUUGAAACAUACCUGAUUUUUAACAUCUUGAUAUUAUUGGCCAAAUAAUGAAAGUGGGAAUAAUUCCCACAUCUAAUGCUAGAAUUUGCGAGCCUUUGAAGAAUAACCGCUCAAGUGCCGUUCUAGGCAGAAGGUUCUUGCUGAAACAGAGAACUGAGCGUUUUGCCAGGCAAGGGUGCUGGAUCACAGGCAACCCAGAAAAUCAGCAAAGUGGGUAGCUGGAACCAGGGGCUGAGCAGAUGUCAUGGACUGGCUGGAUGCAGAAGAGUGGCAGGAGGCACCAGCUGGGGAAACCCCAACAGAAGAAGGCUUAGAGCUGGCGGAUCAGAGGUGGGACAACGGUGAGUGGUCAGAGGGAUAAGAGGGAUAAGCCUUGGAGGAGGAGGUGUUGGAAGCUGAAAAGGUAACAGGGUUUAGUGAGCAGGAAGUGGCUGUGGCAGAGAGCAGUUCAGAAUCAGAGGCUGGAGAGGAGUGGGGUCAAGAGGCAGACAUGAGUCAAGCUGCUGAAGAAGCCAGGAAGUCUUCCUCUCCUGCUGUGACCAACUCCUGUCCCCCCUGCUCCCGUCUCCCAGAAUCAGACACAGUAUGAAGAGGGCAGAGCAAAAACAGACAAGAUGUUUGAGUCUCAUUUUGUUUGGGAAGGACCCAUGAGAGGAGGAGGCCUAGAGAGCUGUGGGAAUGUGGGGACCUUCAGUCCUCACAACUUCCUCAUUGCGGCAAGAUCUACUGGGAAGCGUUGCUGUGCUUACUAGGCUGGAGCUGUUUUGUUUCUUUGAAUAAAGAAUCAACUUCACUGAAGCAUGUGAGUUAUUGCUGACCUGCUCCCUGGCAGCAGAAUAGGAACUCAUGAGUGGCAAAUGUAGUAAAGGUUGACUGUUGGGCGGGCAAAGCUGGUCCUAGAAACCUUUAUGGUGCUACUGAGUCAGGGGAAAUAAGUGGGAUACAUCAGCACUUACUCUCCAGAUGUUCUGGACCACAACUACCAUUAGCAAAACACAAAAUAUCUGGAGGUGCCAGUUUAGCCAAGUGUAGAUCAAGGGGAGACUGGGUCUAGCCCCAAUGAAAAGGAUGGUGCCAUUGAAGAGACAUUGACCACCAUUUUGUGGGAGACGAUGGCCUGAAGAAACAAGUAUCAGUGGGCCACCAUGUUUUCCUUCUAUACUUGAUCUUCAUCAUAAUAUGGCCUUUCAUUAAACAUUGCAUCUCUCCAUUAGUUUGUAAUUGCUGUGCUUGCCAUACAAGUUAUGCAUUAUUGGAUUCAAAUUUAGAGUUCCCCCCUCCCAUGGCUCUGAACAAAUUGCAGACAAUUGCAGGACCUAGAAUAAUUGCAAAAGUAAUCCUAAAGGAUCAGGCAGAAAAUGAGCUAGGGUUGCCAUAUUUCAAAAAGUGAAAAUCUGGACAUAAAACUUUUUGACUUUUUUGGUAAGAAGUUUGGGACCUAUGGGGUCACCCAAAAAUCAACACUUCCGGAGAUUUUCCUGGACAUUUUAACUGUUUCCUGAAAAUUCCUCCCUAUUUUUGUCAGUUGAAUCCUAGAUAUGUCUGGGAAAUUCCAGGUGUAUGGCAGCCCUAUAUGAGCACUAUCUAGAGAUGUUAUGUCCCCUGCAUUGCAUAGACUCCCAAGGAGGUAUGUGAUAUUGUCAUGAUGGUAAUUUGAAGCUAGAGGUUUACUUUAUGCAAGUCUCUCAGUGACGCUAAAGAAAACGCGGCAGUGGACAUCAGUGGAGGUUGUGGCCGCUGCUAAUUAAUCUUCAUUGUGUCCAAUGUUAUCCUCAAUAAAGGCACAUUACUUGAAAUGGUUUUGUUUAAUGACACUGACUUGAGAAUAUGACUGAUAAACACAAGGAAAAUCCUUCCUGCAUAAUGCCGUGUUCUGAAUUAUUUAAAAGGUGGAAUAGCUUUGGAGCAUGGGAGCCGUGUGAGAUAUUCUUCGCCAUCUGUGCAUAACAAGAUGUCGGCACACAAAAGAGGGAUCUGAAAUAUCCGGAAGACCUCAUACAUUAAGAAGCCUCCUGCAAUGCUGAGGUCUUAAAAUAAACUCUAGUCCCAGUUCAUAUAAAGGGUGUGUUCACAUUAGAGCACAGUGAAGUUGUUCUCCUCCUGCAUUUCAACAACUCUACGUGGGGCUGCCCCUGAAACUGACCCAGAAACUCCAGCGGGUGCAGAAUGCCGCGGCGAGACUCCUCACGGGGUCCUCGUCACCGGAGCACAUUCAUCUGGUGCUAUACCAGCUGCACUGGCUCCUGGUGUACAGGAACAGAUUUAAGGUGCUGAUUUUAACCUUUAAAGCCCUAUACGGCCUAAGACCCUCGUACCUACGGGACCGCCUCUCCUGGUAUGCCCCACGGAGGACCUUAAGGUCUGCAAAUAAUAACACCCUGAAGAUCCCCAGCCCCAGGGAGAUUAGACUGGCCUCGACCAGAACCAGGGCCUUUUCGGCCGUGGCCCCUGCCUGGUGGAAUGCUCUCUCACAAGAGACUAGGGCCCUGUGGGAUUUGACAUCUUUCUGCACGGCCUGCAAGACAGAGCUGUUCCGCCAGGCCUUUGGUUGGGGUUCGGUCUGAUUCUUUUCUUUCUGUAUAAGAACAAGCAUUAAAGAGGCCUCCUAGCCCGCUCACAGGUCCUUUAUAAGACCAGUGAUAACAAUUGGCCCUGGAGAAUAUUAACCACUCUCAGUUUUACCCAUGGACUGCCAUCUGUCCAGAUUUCAAUUUGCUCUGAAUUAAUUUUAAGAUGUAUUUUAACUAAUUGAUUGCCUGUUUUUAUGUUUUUAUGUUCUUUGUAUACUGUCUUAGUUUCAUGAUGUUAGCUGCCCUGAGCCCAGCUCCAGCUGGGGAGGGCAGGGUACAAAAUUAUUAUUAUUAUUAUUAUUAUUAUUAUUAUUAUUAUUAUUAUUAUUACGUGGCUUCGAUUCCUUAACUGUUUGUGCACACACCCAUGGAUGGGGCAGAGAUGUCAUUACACCAUGGCAAGAGAAGAAUUGGGAACGGCUUAAAGACCCCAGCUGGUGUGACACCAGUUUGAGAAACAACACAUCAAACAGUAGUUUCUUAUAAUGGGGUAUAUGGGACACAGAUGCAUUUUGGAUAGCAGUGGAAAGGCAGUGAGGGCCCAGUAAAUGGGAGGGACAGACAUAGGCAUAUGGGGAAAAAAUGGGUGUGCAAACUGUCCCCCUGGGUAUGCACCCUGCCACCUGCAUAGUUGCUGCAUAGAGCAAAUGGGAACCCUGUUAAAUGUUUCCAGUCCAACAUCAUGCUGCAUUCACUUUAUGUCGGGACGUAUGGCAGGUUAUUUUUGUUGUGUUUAUCCAUGGGUAAAGCAGAUGCAGACUUUUGAGAGUCCCAUGGACUGCAAGAAGAUCAGACCUAUCCAUUCUUAAGGAAAUCAGCCCUGAGUGCUCACUGGAAGGACAGAUCCUGAAGCCGAGACUCCAAUACUUUGGCCACCUCAGGAGAAGAGAAAACUCCCUGGAAAAGACCCUGAUGUUGGGAAAGAUGGAGGGCACAAGGAGAAGGGGAGGACAGGGACGAGAUGGUUGGAUAGUGUUCUUGAAGCUACCAGCAUGAGUUUGACCAAACUGUGGGAAGCAGUGGAAGACAGAAGUGCCUGGCGUGCUCUGGUCUAAGGGGUCACGAAGAGUCGGACACGACUAAACAACAACAAGGGUCAUCUUACUGGAGCAAUAUAUUCUUACAAAAUCCUGUUCAGCAUCCUGGAGCAAUAUAUUCUUACAAAAUCCUCUUCGCGAAGCUACCAGCAUGAGUUUGACCAAACUGCGGGUCGCAGUGGAAGACAGGAGUGCCUGGCGUGCUCUGGUCUAAGGGGUCAUGAAGAGUUGGACACGACUAAACAACUAAACAACAACAACAACAACCACAAAGCAGAUGCUUGUGCAUCUGUACAGAAGACAGGUAUAAGAACUCAGAAUGAAACCUCACCUUUGCGUGAUUCUAUUUAUUUAUUUCAUUUCUAUGCCCCCUUUUUCCUCUAAAGAGCUAAAAUAUGGCAUACACGGUUCCUUGUUCCCCGCUCAUUUAAUCCCGACCACAACCCUGUGAAGUAGGCUUAGGCUGAGAGGCAGUGAUUGGCCCCCAAGGUCACCCAAUGAGUUUCAGGACCAAGUCAGGGCUGGAUUCAAACCGUGGUCUCCCAGGUCCGAGCCCAACACUCUAACCAACUACUCCACGCUGGGAGAAUUGCAAGCGGAACUCCGAACGCCUCCAUAUCUGCUGAGACGACUUCUUUGCGUCCCUUCGCACCCUGAUACCUCCUUGAAGAAAACACCCAUCUGCGUCCUGAGGCGCAUUUGUUUAACACCAGCCAUCUGAUCUUGUUCUUCUCUUCCUCCUCCUCCUCUUCUUUUUUUUUAAAAAAAAGAAGCCACCAACAAAAACCUGACCCCUUUACACACACACGCACAAUACAGUCACUCAUGCAUUUGCAGCCGUAAACCUCCCAAAGGUCGUUUCCAUGACAACCCAGGGUCCUUAAUGACCCUGACAGUUCAAUGAUUUUGUUUUGUUUGAGAGGGAAGGAAUAAUAAGUCUUCUGUCUCCCCCACUGCCGUUCCCCACCUCCAGUCAUCCCCCUCCACUACACACCCGAUGCUGCUGUUCAUUAUCUGAUUCUGGGAUCAGCCCUGGAGACAGAACAGCAGCAGCAGCAGCAGCAGCAAGCAAAGGUAGUGGAGGCAGCAGUGGCGGCCAGCUCUGAAAGACAAGAGCUUUGCCGCAGACAAAGAACAGUAAAGGAGCCGGGCGUGCUCAGCAUACAGUCACUGCGGCGGCCUCAUUAAUUCCAUCACUAGCCCAAUGAGUUUAAGCAUGCGCCAGGGGUAUUGCGAUGGUUUGUAGCAAUAUGUUGCAUAAGUGAGCCCCAAAUCGCUGCGCAGUUAUUUAGAAAGUACAUCUCGCAUACCACUAACAGGGAUGCUUUUUAUUAAUGAUGUGUACCAGAAAUGCUGCAAAGACGCUGGCCGCUCCUCUGCAGCAAGGCCUAUAAUUUUAAUGAUGUGAUGAAUAAGGCAAUUAAUGUACUUCACUCUAUUUCCCACAUGCAUCAUAUUUAACGUCGGAAAGCUAAAGAGAUUUCUGAGAGGAGGAGCGGAGGGGGUGGGGAGCGCAUUGUUAAGCCGAAGCGUUCCCUGCUUCCGAAUGCAGACCGCCUGCAUCUGCGGCCGUGGAAGUGGUGUUCCUUGUUCUCCAGCUCGAAACUGGCUAGAGGCACCUGUGUGGAGUUGCUCCUUGUGUUAAUAUAUAGGGCUGUCAACCGAUUAAAGAAUGUUUAGUUGAUUAAUUAUCUGCCUUUCAGCCAGAUAAUUGAUUACAUUUAAAGACAUUUGCAUCUCGCCAAAACACAGGUGUCAUUUUUUUUUAAUGGAAGGACACAUGCAAUGUGAUUUGCAAAUGUAAUAAUUAAAAGCUACCACCCAUUGUUAGAUGGAAAGGACACCAUUUAUUGUGUCUCUCCCCCCCCCCAUUCUAGAAUACAAUAACUAACAUAUCAAAACCAAAAUAAUCUAAGCUCUCUCUCUCUCUCUCUCUCUCUCUCUCUCCCCUAAACAAAAACAAAAACAGGUUUGAUCUUAACUUUCAGCUUCACAUUGUGAAGUUUGUCAUCUCUGGUUAAAGCCACUAAUUAAUCAACUAAAGCUUAAGUUGAUUAAUCUGCCAGUUAAAAGUCUUGCAAUCCUGAUAAACCUAUGGACUAGUAAGAAAACGACCUCUUAUAGACUCUAAACAAUUCUGUAUUUUAUCCUAGCAUACAAUGACAUUAAAGACCCACCCUUCCCAAAGAUAAAGAUAACAUAUUAUUGUUUCAUUAAUGUACUUCACGUGUGUACCAAAUGGUGGUAGCAAACAUUAUACUGUAUAUGCUAUUCUCUAUCUAUACCUCUGCAACCCCUCUCUUGGAUGCUUUUCCCAGAUGUGUAUGUCUGUGAUGUCAGGGAAAGUGGAAGGGAUGGUGGAAAAAGUUCAAGCAUCUGUCCAGUAAUGCUUUGUGGCUACUUAGUGGUAACCACAGUUCUCAGAACCGCUGGAUGUCUAGACCUGCUCAAAAACCCAUGGUGGCAAGUCCUCUUUGUGGACUGUUGCCUACACUGGUCUCUUGGAAUCGGAGGAUCUUGAAAAGUUGUCCUUGUAACACCAUCACAAGAAAAACCCAUCAUACCACUUCCGGGUUAGCGCCAUCGGCAAUGGCUGAAUUCCUCUGACCGGGAGGAAUUUGCCCCGUGGAAAAUAGGGUCUGGCCACUACGGCGAAGGCAGAGACCCGAAAAAAAUCACAGGCGGGAGAAGCCUGUGAACGUGGGAUUCGGCGGGCACCUUUUGCACCUCCCCUACUCGCGAGGAAACCCAAUUUCGGGGUUCCGGAGCGACGUGGGGUGAGUGGUGCGGUGCUUCGAGUCGUCUGCUUUUUUCACUGAGCGAAGCCGCAUAGCUGUUGCCGGAGAGCACUGACUUUUUCCUGUGGACAAUUUCAUAGAAUCAUAGAAUCAUAGAAUCAUAGAGUUGGAAGAGACCACAAGGGCCAUCGAGUCCAACCCCCUGCCAAGCAGGAAACACCAUCAGAGCACUCCUGACAUAUGGUUGUCAAGCCUCUGCUUAAAGACCUCCAAAGAAGGAGACUCCACCACACUCCUUGGCAGCAAAUUCCACUGUCGAACAGCUCUUACUGUCAGGAAGUUCUUCCUAAUGUUUAGGUGGAAUCUUCUUUCUUGUAGUUUGGAUCCAUUGCUCCGUGUCCGCUUCUCUGGAGCAGCAGAAAACAACCUUUCUCCCUCCUCUAUAUGACAUCCUUUUAUAUAUUUGAACAUGGCUAUCAUAUCACCCCUUAACCUCCUCUUCUCCAGGCUAAACAUGCCCAGCUCUCUUAGCCGUUCCUCAUAAGGCAUCAUUUCCAUGCCUUUGACCAUUUUGGUUGCCCUCCUCUGGACAUGUUCCAGUUUGUCAGUGUCCUUCUUGAACUGUGGUGCCCAGAACUGGACACGGUACUCCAGGUGAGGUCUGACCAGAGCAGAAUACAGUGGCACUAUUACUUCCCUUGAUCUAGAUGCUAUACUCCUAUUGAUGCAGCCCAGAAUUGCAUUGGCUUUUUUAGCUGCUACGUCACACUGUUGGCUCAUGUCAAGUCUGUGGUCAACCAAGACUCCUAGAUCCUUUUCACAUGUACUGCUCUCAAGCCAGGUGUCACCCAUCUUGUAUUUGUGCCUCUCAUUUUUUUUUGCCCAAGUGCAAUACUUUACAUUUCUCCCUGUUAAAAUUCAUCUUGUUUGUUUUUGCCCAGUUCUCUAAUUUGUCAAGGUCAUUUUGAAGUGUGAUCCUGUCCUCUGGGGUGUUAGCCACCCCUCCCAGUUUGGUGUCAUCUGCAAAUUUGAUCAGGAUGCCCUUGAGUCCAUCAUCCAAGUCGUUGAUAAAGAUGUUGAAUAAGACCGGGCCCAAGACAGAACCCUGUGGCACCCCACUAGUCACUCUUCUCCAGGAUGAAGAGGAACCAUUGAUGAGCACCCUUUGGGUUCGGUCAGUCAGCCAGUUACAAAUCCACUGAGUGGUAGCAUAGUCAAGACCGCAUUUUACCAGCUUCUUUACAAGAAUAUCAUGGGGCAAUUUGAAUCUAAAGUGAUUACCCGUGAGUAGAGCUGGAACGGGAGAAUUAGAUUUUUAAACGUAUAAUUUGGUAUCGAAGCGGGGAGGUUCAAAACAGGAAGUCCGCCUCCCCUUUUUGUAAAUAGACUGAAGCAAAAAGGCUGUAAGCUGAAGCCUUGGAAAGCCCUUUGUAAAAGACUAAAAUUUCAACGGUAAAGAACAUUUAAUCCCCCCUCGGGGGCAGGAGAAGAGGGGGGAAGUUGUGGACUGAGUAGACCUGCAGGAGAGAGUGAAGAGAGUCAGAAUAUUGCCGCUCUGACCCUGGAAACGGGCUGCUAGCUGGAUUGACCUCUUUUGGAAUGUCCAUUGACAGCGUACAGAACGUUCACUGACAGCUAGCUAAGUAAGACAAAUACAUUGUUUCUACAUUGCUUCUACAGUCUCUGGUUGUUUCUAAAAAGGAACAAAUAGUAACAGAAAACUGAAACUAACUUUGGAUGUUUGAAUUGUGUUUAAAAGAGGACAUUAUUUAUUAAAAUAAGUAACAUAAAUUGAAACUGUUUCCCCCUAGUGGAAGUUUUUGAAACUGGUUGUUCUACAAGAGUUCUACAAGUGUGGAGCUAGGGGAAUUUCCAGCUGUAAGAUAAGAACUGUGUGACUCUGGGACUGACCUUGAAUUGUUUAAGUGUUAUGGCAAAUGGAAAGGAAAAAAUAGAUUUGCCAACUGCUGAAAAAACGUUAAGGUCUGGGACGAUUAGGCAGCAACCUAGGAGAAGUUCAAUACCAGAUCCCCUUCCUCCGGCUGCUGCUGUGUCUAUAUCAGCACAACCAAAAUCAAAGGGAAUGCUAUCAGAAGAGGUAUUAGCGGUUGCGUUAAGUAAGAUAAAUGACUCAUUGGAACAUGGACAAGAAUUGACCAAAUCUGGGUAACCAGGGGACUGGCUCCGAAGAUUAGCAAAGUGGAGAUCUGCCCCAAAACUUGUUCGGACCAUAAUGCAGUGAAGAUGGAAGAUGAAAUUAAUGCCAAGUGGCUCCUUCAGAUGGAGGAUGAAUGACACCUUGUUUAGGAAUGAAGAGGUGACCAAGAAGGCCCAAAAAACUCUAAGAGAUUAUUUUGACAUAAACAUGAGCACUACAGUGGAAAAAAGAGUAAUUUGGGAUGCAAGCAAAGCGGUUAUGAGAGGAUUCCUAAUACAGCAGAAUGCAAUUAAGAAGAGAACUCAGAAUGAAAAAAAGGAUAAAAUCCUGGGAAAGAUAGGGGAAGGAGAGAAGAAACUGAGAGCAAAACCAAAGUCACAGGAGAUUCUGAAAGAGAUAAAGUUAUACCAGGUACAAUAUGCGAAGCUGAUGAAUCAGGAAAUAGAAUGGAAGAUUAAACAGAUGAGGCAAAAGACAUUUGAAUCGACAAAUAAAUGUGGGAAAUUGUUGGCCUGGCAAAUGAAAAAAAGACAAAAACUUAAUACUAUCACGAAUUUGGAAGUGGAAGGAAAAAAUAUACAGAACCCAGUGGAGAUUAGGAAGUGUUUCCAGAGGUAUUUCAAACAACUCUACACACAGGAGAAGCAGAAAGAAAUGGACAUUGAUCGAUUCUUGAAAAUAAAUAUCGACUUCCGGGGUGGCGCCAUCGGUGAUGGCGGACUCCCUCUGAUCUGGAGGGACCAACUCCACGGGAAACGGGUCUUUCCCGCUACGGCGAAGCGGGGACCCUUUCAAAAAUCACAGGCGGAUGAAGCCUGUGACCAUAGGACUCGGCGGGCACGUUUAGCGCCCCCCAACCCACAAAGGAACCCACUAACGGGCUCCGGAGUGAAGAGGGGGAAGUGGCGCGGUGCUGAGAGUCAACUGCUUCUUCCGUGGAGCGAAGCCGCACAGCCGUUGCCGGAGAGCGCUGCCUUUUUCCUGGGACAAUUUGGCUUUUAAAACAAUUACCCGUGAGUACUUAAAUUUCGGACAAUUGGACUUCAAAUAAUGAUUUGCAAGUAGAAAGGAAAAUUGGACUAAGAAAUUUACCUCAGUUUGGCACUGAAACGGGAAGGUCUAAACAGGAAGUCAGCCUUCCGUUUCUUGUAGAUAGAUUAAAGCAAAGACAUGGCAAACUAGAGUUCAGAAAAUCGCCUGUAAAGGAUUAACUUUCAUCAUUCAAAAUUGUUGAACCCCCUUCGGAAGCAGGAGAAGAGGGGGGAUUUUUUCCAGGCUGUUUAAACCUGCAGAAGAGAGUGUAACGCAAAGUAAACUUCCACCGUCUUGAUCCUGGAGCGGGGUGUCAGGACUGACGUUUUUUGGGAAGCUCAUUGACCAGAGACAAACGUCUUUGACAGAUAGUUAAAGAAGAGAAACAUAGUGAUUCCAUUGUUCCCCUUCGCAUUUUAAAGGAACAAAUAUUGACAAAAUAUCUGAAAAAGGAAACUUUGUUGUUAGAUCUGCCUUUGAAAGAAAAGAACAAAUAGAAGCUCUUCCCCUAGAGGGAGCCUGUGAAACUGUUACCAAUUCUGAACCGGGGAGCUUGCAGCUGCAAUAGAUUACGAUCGUGGGAAUAGACUUCUGACCUUGCAGAACAAUAUACUCAGAAGCUCUGCUGCGUGCUUUCUGUAAAACAAGUGCCCUACUGGAACAGCUACAUGAGAAGACGGACUUGAUGACUGUUGCGAUCAGAAAUUUUGGACAGGUAGUGGGAAACUAUAUAGAGCCCACCCAGGAAUCAAAUCAGGAGUGUGCUCUGACAGAACAGAUGAGGGAAGAGGAUGCUGCUGAACCUUGGGCGCCAGAGAUGGAGGGAGCUGUGGCCCAGCAGGAACAUGAGUUCUUGGAUUUGACAAAUGAACUUGGAAAAAGCCAGAUUUGGAAAGAUAAAGUUUGGUUUGGUUUGGAAAUGGGGGGUUGGAUAGGACCCCCCCCCCCAUGCAGGGAUGUUUGGACUUUUCAAGUCUGGCAAUGGGCCGUGAGAUGUUUGGGGUUGUGGGGGCUCUUAAUUCUGGAGGGACUUUGAAACAUGUUUUUAAAUACCCCAUGGAGUUUAGUGUGGACUAUGGAAAAGGGCUGAUUUGUCGAGAAGGGUCAAAAACACUGUUAAGUUGGAGUUCCCACGAGUGAAAGGAGCAGGAGACAAAGUAAAGUACAGGUAUAAAUAUGAAGAAGAACUGCGGAUGGGACAUGGAAGGGACUUAAGGGCCUCGGACAUAAGAUUACCAGGUUAAUGCGCUAGAUUGAUGGGAUAGAAAGGACUGACAAAACCCGGGACCAGGAGGAAGAGACGCUGGAUGAAGAUUGGAAGAAAAAAUUUUUUUUAUUAGGAUUGUUUUAUAAAAUUGAUGAACGUUAGAAAAAUGAUGGAAUGAAAUUAUUUGGCUUUAGCAAAAAUGUUUAAAGAAUUAUGUAAGAAUAUUAUGGUUAGGAGAAAUUGGUAUAAAUAAGAUCUAAGUUUUAAGUUUUAAGGUCUUUUAUAGUAAGAUAAGAUUAAAAUAGAUUAAGGUAAUGUAAUGACAGAAUAUUAUGAAAUAUGGAAAGGAUUUGCUGUGACAAUUAACAACUAGGAUACAAAAAAAGGGAGGAGUGAGGAGGUCAAAGAAAGAAGGUAAUGACAGUUAAGGAUUUGAGAAUAUUGGAUUUGUUUUUAAAUGUUUGUGGCAUAUUUUUGUCUUUUGAUUGUGUCAUGUUAUUUUUUGAUUUUGAUUUUUAUCAAUUUGUAUUGUUCGAUCGUGGUUUGUUUUUCUUUUGUUUUUUUCUCUCUCUUCUUCUUUUUUGUUUUUCUUUUUGUAAUUCUAAAAUUCUUAAUAAAUAUCAUUAAAAAAAAAAAGAAAAUAAAUGGACUACACAAAAUCUCACAGGAAAAACAACUAAUGUUGAACUACAAAAUAACGGACCAGGAGGUGGAAGGGGCUAUCCAGAACAUGCACUUAGGUAAAUCUCCAGGACCAGAUGGUUUGACUUCAAGAUACUACAGAUCUUUGAAAGAUUGGUUAAUACAACCAUUGAAGGAAGUCUGUAAUGAAAUAUUGGAAGGAAGGAAGGCACCAGAGUCGUGGAAGGAAGCUUACAUUACACUUAUACCUUAAAACAGAGACUGAAAAGACACAGCUCAAAAACUACCGCCCCGUAUCGCUGCUAAAUGUGGAUUAUAAAAUUUUUGCAGACAUUUUGGCCAAAAGAUUAAAAAAGGUGUUAGUAGAAGAAAUUCAUAAAGAUCAAGCAGGCUUUCUCCCGGGCAGACAUUUGUCUGACAAUAUGAGGAAUAUAAUUAAUAUUUUAGGAAAACUUCAAGUGAAUAUUAAUACUAAGGCGGUCUUGAUAUUUGUGGAUGCGGAGAAAGCCUUUGACAACAUUUCUUGGAGUUUUAUGAAGAAGAAUCUACAGGGGAUGGGGGUAGGCCAAGGUUUUGAAAAUGGUAUAGGUGCAAUUUACUCAGAACAAAAGGCAAAAUUAAUUGUGAAUAAUGUAGUGACAGAAGAGUUUAAGAUUGAGAAAGGGACACGACAAGGUUGCCCAAUUUCUCCACUGCUUUUUAUAUCGGUCCUUGAGGUUUUGUUAAACAUGAUAAGAAAGGACCAAGAGAUCAAAGGUAUACAAGUGGGAGUUAAAAAGUAUAAACUGAAAGCAUUUGCUGAUGAUCUAGUACUGACCCUACUGGAACCAGAAUCUAGUACAAAAAGGGUAUUGGAACUGAUUCAAGAAUUUGGGCAAGUAGCAGGUUUUAAGCUGAAUAAGAUGAAAACUAAGGUUUUAGAGAAAAAUUUAACUGUAAAGGAGAGAGAGAAAUUUUAGGAAGAGACAGGACUAACAUUGGUUAAGAAAGUGAAAUAUUUAGGGGUUAAUAUGACUGCUAAAAAUGUAAAUCUAUUUAAGGAUAAUUAUGAAAAAUGUUGGAUUGAAGUGAAAAAGGACUUAGAAAUAUGGUCAAAUUUGAAGUUAUCAUUGUUAGGCUGAAUUGCUGUGAUAAAAAUGAAUGUGCUGCCAAGGAUGUUGUUCUUAUUUCAAACAUUACAAAUUUUGGAUAAGAUGGAUUGUUUCAAGAAGUGGCAGAAAGAUAUUUCCAGAUUUGUUUGGCAGGGCAAGAAGCCUCGAAUAAAAUUUAAGAUAUUAACUGAUGCUAAAGAAAGAGGUGGAUUUGCCCUGCCAGACCUAAAACUCUAUUAUGAAUCAGCUGCUUUUUGUUGGCUGAGGGAAUGGCUGCUACUUGAAAACACUGAUGUGUUGGACCUAGAAGGGUUUAUUAAUGUAUUUGGUUGGCAUGCAUAUUUGUGGUACGAUAAGGUAAAAGCACAUAAAGCGUUUAAAAAUCAUAUUGUCAGAAAAGCAUUGUUUAAUGUAUGGAUAAGAUAUAAAGAUUUGUUAGAAAAGAAAACCCCAAGAUGGUUGUCACCAAUAGAAGCGAAGGCACAGAAAAAACUCAAUAUGGAGGCCAAAUGGCUAAAAUAUUGGGAAAUUCUGGACCAAGAGGGAGACAGACUAAAAUUGCAGAGCUUUGAAAAACUGAAAAACAAAGUGCGAGAGUGGCUCCAUUAUUAUCAAAUAAUGGAGGCAUAUAAUUUGGACAAAAAAGUUGGUUUCCAGGUGGAAAAAUCAAAAUUGGAAACAGAAUUGUUAGAUUCCAAAAUUAAGAAUUUGUCAAAAAUGUAUAACUUGCUGUUGAAAUGGAACACUCAGGAUGAAACGGUGAAAUCAGCUAUGAUUAAAUGGGCACAAGAUGUUGGACAUAAUAUAAUGAUGGCUGACUGGGAACAGUUAUGGACCACAGGUAUGAAAUUUACGGCAUGUAAUGCCCUAAGAGAAAACUUAAUGAAAAUGAUUUAUAGGUGGUACAUGACACCAGUCAAGCUUGCAAAAAUUUACCAUUUGCCUGACAAUAAAUGUUGGAAAUGUAAUGAGACUGAAGGCACAUUCUUUCACCUUUGGUGGACAUGCCCAAGGAUUAAGACAUUCUGGGAGAUGAUUUAUAAUGAAAUGAAAAAGGUAUUUAAAUAUACCUUCUUGAAGAAACCAGAGGCCUUUCUCCUGGGCAUGGUCGGCCAAAUGGUGCCAAAGAAGGAUAGAACCUUUUUUAUGUACGCAACAACAGCAGCAAGAAUACUCAUCGUGAAGUAUUGGAAGACACAAGAUUUGCCCACCCGGGAAGAAUGGCAGAUGAAGUUGAUGGACUACAUGGAACUGGCGGAAAUGACUGGCAGAAUCCGAGACCAGGGAGAGGAGUUGGUGGAAGAAGACUGGAAAAAGUUUAAAGACUAUCUACAGAAAUAUUGUAAAAUUCAUGAAUGUUAGAAAAAUGUUGAAAUGAAGUUAUAUGGCUUUAGCAGAAAUAUUAUAAGGAAUUAAGUACAGAUAGGUUAAUAGAGUAUUAAAGGAAAAAAAUAAGGUUAGAAUGAGUUAAGAUAAUUAUAGGAUAGAAAACAGAGGAGGAUGGAAAGGAAUUGCUGAAAUAAUUAAUAGAAGUGGAAUACAAAAAAGGAGGUGUGAGGAGGUCGUGGAAAUAAGUGAAUGAAAGAUGGGAUAAUGAAAUUGGUUGAUUUAUUUUAUUGUCUUAGUCUUGUUUUGUUAAUUUGAUGUGUUGUAUUGUAUUGUUAAACAGAAUAUAACUUCAAACAUUAAAAAAACUUCCCUAAACAGGACUGCCUUCAGAUGUCUUCUAAAAGUCAGGUAGUUGUUUAUUUCCUUGACAUCUGGUGGGAGGGCAUUCCACAGGGCAGGCGCCACCACCGAGAAGGCCCUCUGCCUGAUUCAUAGUCUGUACAUGCAAAAGACAUCCACAGUACAAAUCUUGCAGCUGUGGAAUCAAGAUUCUGUGCUUGGGAAGCUCAAGUUCUCUGCUCAACAUACAGUCUAGAGAUCCAUGCAAAUGUGCUUAUUUUGUAUAAACCUGCUUGAUGCAGGGAGCACACACUCCCUCACAACAUCUGGCUGUGCUCCAGAUAUAUGCAGCUGCUUUCGCUUCUAGCUUGGCUUUGAAUACUAUAGAAGGGGAAUGCACCACCUCUACAGGGCUCCAUAGUGUGAGAUGUUGUGUUCCUAGAGCUAAUUCUCACAUUAUUUUUUCCUCCAGACGCAGGAUUGCUUGAGCAAGUCACCAGUGGACUUCCUGCAGCAGCAUUUAUGAAUGAGUGAUACCUGUUACCAGGAGCCUGACAGAGUUACGAACCACAGCAGAAUAACCAACCCGGCUUGGAAUUUUGACUGGUUCCCUAACAAACUACAUGAACAACAACCUUUCCCAGGAUCUUACCUUUCCCAGGAUCUAGUCGCAUGCUUUCCUCACCCCCGCAAAAUGUUUGUGCUUGGAUGCAGACAAGGAAGUGCCUUGCAGGAAUAAAACCAAUACAUAAAUGUGCCCUUCCAGAGCAGUCUGCUGCUGUGCUCCCUCAGAGGAAUUGAGAUCAAAGAAGCACACUUGUUAGUAGUCCCAGGAAUGGGCAAAGCUCGCUAAGAAAUUUCGCUUCUAGAAAGUCAAUAUCCCAUGUAUGUUUUGCUGAAGCAAAAAACCUUCGAUUUUCCUUGAAAUGUCAGUCAGUCAGUCAGAUUUUUAUUGUUCGUCGUCAAUGGGCAUUGCAAUACAACCCGAGAAAAAGUUAAACACGCCUAUUUUCAGAACUGGAAAUUCCCCAAAUUUAAAGCUGUAAAGUUCCCCAAAUCAUUUAGACCAUGAGUAGGAAAGAGUUAUCAGCUUGUGGCCUGCACAGUCUUCUUCCUGGGGAUAUAUGCCAAUAUUGGGCAUGACCAGAAACAAAAGUGGGUGGAGAACAACUGUUAAUUUAGUCACACACCCCUCUCUAUCUUUCAUCCAGAGAAACAAGAAGCAUGACUGCAAUUGAGACUGGUCCAAUAGGGUAAGUGUUUGCUUCCUUACUUACAACCAGUCCAGCAGGUGUCACUUUGAGUUGCACUGGUUGCCUGCUUCCUCCCUCUCAAUGUUGCCUUUGUAGACCUCGGCAUGGAGGAGAGUGGAGAUGAAACUAGAAUUAAUUGACUCCAUCGGUCAUUGACUCUGGUUCUGGCUACUGUUGGUCUCCUUGCCUUCUGCCUACUAGUCCCAAGGGGUACCACUCUCCACUGGUGUUGAGGAUUCAAGGACACAUUGUACCCAGGCAAAAGCACUCAAGGAGAACUCAAAGGAGGUCCAGUGGAGGAUAUGGCCUGGGGAGAAUGCCAAAGGCCAGGCAGAGAGAUCUGGAUGGCUGCAUUCAGACCCUGGGCCUGAGGUUCCUCAUCCUUGAUUUAGAUUUUUUUAAAUUCCCUCAGCAGUUGACACUGUUCUGGGUCCAAAAAGUAGUCUGCAAGUUUCUCACAGUUAAAACAUAUAAAGUCAUUCUGUAGGUAACAAAUGUCUACAUCAGCCAACAACCAUCUAAUUUUGAAAUCAUCUGAUUGACCUUCUUGAAAAUUCACAAAUGAAUAGAGGAACAUGUCCCUAGGUGAAUUGAAUAAAGGGCAGGACGGGAUAUAGUGCAUAUUGAAAUGCCACUCUAAGUAAAAUGUAGUGACCUAUCUAAAUAGUCACAUCCCAGGAAGGUGGCGGCCUACCUUAGUGUCUCUUGCCUGGUCUUCCUCCUUCCACCACCGGGAUUGUAAAGUUUUCCCUCCCUCUCCAAUGUGAAGUUUACCUCGGAAGUGCUAGGAUGCAACUCAACUUGCACUGGAGACAGAUACACCUGCAUGGGAAGAGUCGACAGAAAGGAAUAUCCAAGCAUCUUAGACUGUCCUUCCUGGGGUGACCUAUUGAUCUUUUUGCAAGGUUAGGCUGAUAUUCUUAGUGUUGUUGACUUGACCUCACCUCCUUUCUGCCUCCCUUGGGAGAGGAGACAUAUUUUGUGUCUCUCCUCCUGAGAUGAAAAAGCAAGCAUGGCUCAUUGCAUUCUCUACCUUAGUUAGAACUAGAACAUAAAGGUACUAAGGGUUACCUUCCUGAGUCAUGUGGAUGUGAAAAUGGUUAAGGAAUUAUCUCAGUAGUUAGAGGGCUGUAAACCAGGGGUGCUGGAUAUAGGGGCAGAAGGGACUUCAGCCCCCCAAUAUUGAGGGGGCUGCCACCUGCCGCCACCAGGCACCCUCUGUGUGCCCCAGCCUACAUCCAGCAGCUCAGGAACCAGGAGUCAGGUGGGGGCUGGGACGAUCUUUGCCUUUGCUCAUCCCAGCAUCUGCCCAGCAUCCUGAGAGCCCAGGAUAUUGGUCCAUCAUACCUUUCAUGUGAGGAGAACUACUUCACUUUCAUUUUGCUCCCUGGCUUGAUACUGCAAUCUCUGCUUUCACACUUCCCCAUGCUUUUCUGUGAGAUAUAACUUGGGGAAACUUGAUUCCCUGAUCAGCAGCUCGGAGAGCACCAUUUCCCCUCUCCAUGUCUGGCUUUGAUGUGGAACUUCUGUGUGGUAGCCUGAUUGAAUCAAAGGUGGUGGGAAGGGGCAAGAGACAGGUCUGUAGGAUUAGAGACAUAAAUGAAAGGUAAUUACAUCAGAGGCAGACAAAUUGGCAAGUCGGCAGGGAUACAAGCAAGGCUAAAUAGCAUUUAAUUCUCCAUAUUAAUUAAUUUGGUUCAUUCCUUUAAACAAGACUUGACACACUGGGUCAUUGUUGAAACAUUAAGGACUGGUAAAAUCUAGAGUGUUUAUGGAGUUUGUGUCCAACAGCAUCCAAUUCUCCACCCCUAGUUGGUUGUAUAUUCAUCUACUUGUCUCCACCAGAUGUCCUCAUUCCUGAUCUUCAUCUAGUCUUGCCCUACUUUGAUUCCACCAUCAUCCUGCUCACCUGCCCAACCAUGGGUGACCUCCCAGUUUUUGAUCCUUCAUCUGUCAAUGGGCCAUUGCACAUUCCCACCACUUUACCAUGGCUGCUGGUACCCAUUUAUGCCACACAAACCUGAGUGCCGAAGGCUGCUGCUGCUGUUCACGUUUCAGUUCAGAGGGGAGCCAUGAAUGAAAGCAUGCAAAGGGGCACCUGGAAAGCAAUGCUGGUCUCCAGAAGUUAGUUGAUGGGGACAAAAGUAGAACAAGAGCAUCUCAUUCUAUGAUACUAUUUUUACCCUUCAAAUAGGCUUUUAAGGCAAACAUCAUGGGGUGCAUUACAGCAGCCACACAUUGAACACGUAAACACAGGGUUGACAGUCAUCUCACCUGGCUCACCAGGAAAUUCCCCUAUGCAGAAUUAACAUGGGAUUCACUGCCAGUAAAAUGUGAAGGCCACUGGUUUAAUUGACUUUAAAAGGGUACUCAGCAAAAAAAAAAAAAAAUGGAGAAUGGAAAUAUUAGAUGGAACCUUCAGAUUUAGAGGCAGCAAACCUCUGGCUACCAGUUGUUGGGUGGACAAACAACUGGCAAGAACUGUUGCCUUCACGCCUUGGUUGUGAAUUUCCUAGAAGCGUUAGGCUUGUACCCCUGGUAGAAACAAGAUGCUGAACUAGGUAGAUUUUUAAUUUUGAUUCAUUGAUGCUCUUCUUUCACAGGCACAACUUAUGGCUGACUAAUUUGUGACCACCAAGUCAAAAACAGUUUCUCACUUUGUGGCCUAGUCUUCUUGUCUCAACCCUAGGCAGGAAGCAACAAAAGGAGGCUGAGCUAAAGUUAAAAGUUUAAUGUGCAUAAGACUGUAAUGGGAGGAGACAAUAUUGCCAUGUGUUUUUAUAUUGUAAACCACUCUGUCAUCUUAGAAUGAAGGGCG
rnacentral:lncRNA from 1 species